rnacentral:rRNA from 1 species
GCCCUGACUUCGGUUGGGUCCUUAGUGGCGCACGGGUGCGUAACGCGUGGGAAUCUGCCCUUGGGUUCGGAAUAACAGCGGGAAACUGCUGCUAAUACCGGAUGAAGACGAAAGUCCAAAGAUUUAUCGCCUGAGGAUGAGCCCGCGUUGGAUUAGGUAGUUGGUGGGGUAAAGUCCUACCAAGCCGACGAUCAGUAGCUGGUCUGAGAGGAUGAUCAGCCACACUGGGACUGAGACACGGCCCAGACUCCUACGGGAGGCAGCAGUGGGGAAUAUUGGACAAUGGGCGCAAGCCUGAUCCAGCCAUGCCGCGUGAGUGAUGGAGGCCUUAGGGUUGUAAAGCUCUUUUAUCCGGGACAGAUAAUGACGGUACCGGAGGAAUAAGCGCGCGGCUAACUUCGUGCCAGCAGCCGCGGUAAU